rnacentral:miRNA from 1 species
CAUCUGAUAUACAAUAUUUUCU